rnacentral:lncRNA from 1 species
GAAUAUAGAGUAUCUAAAAGACCAAAAGACAACCAUAAUGUUUGGAGAUUAAAAGCCAAAGUGAAAGUACCAUGGCUUCCAGGGUUGAGCAUGUGAAAGGCAUUAUUGUUAAAGAUAAAGUGGUGCUGUCAGUCAAGAGUUUAAUGAUAAUCUUGGCUAAGAUACCUGACGGAAAGAGUAUGUUGAAGUUGAGCCAGCGCCUUAAUGCAUUGCACAAUUGCAUGUUUGGAUCAAAGUGGGUAGCUUUUAUUGAUAUGGGGCAGGGAGCGCCCGGAUAGUUAUUCCCCUCAGUACUCGCACUCUCCACGCCCUCGGGACAGCAGGCACCACAGGUCAGAUGGUCGCUCUCCAACUCCAAGCCUAGAUGACCACAAACCUAAGGCGACACCAGUCAAUGGUGGACAUGGUCCAGCAGUUGCAUCCAGAUAGUAUGAUGCCAUUAUGGAUGCCUUGAAUUGUGUUCGGAGGCUGGAGACUGCAGACUAUCUUUUCACCAAUCUUCUCUAAGAGAUGAGUAGGGUUGUAGUAAACAGAUACUUGGUAGUUGUAUUACAGGUGAUGGUUUCGGUUAUGAGGUGCGCUGUUGCUUUUGUGACGCUGCUUUAAUGCUUUCCCAACCGAGGGUAGUAGGGUACCGUCGUGGAAUUUUGCGUGUUUGUUUUUUGGCUACAAUAUUACUAAUACUAGUAACUUGCUCGCUUCGAGCGCGAGUCUUUAUCUAUGUGUCUACACAUCCAAAAGAUCGUUGUUGUAGAUUAUAUAGAAUCGGCACAUUCAAUAAAAAUUAGGAAGGGAG